rnacentral:rRNA from 1 species
CUACGGGAGGCUGCAGUAGGGAAUCUUCCACAAUGGGCGAAAGCCUGAUGGAGCAACGCCGCGUGAGUGAAGAAGGUUUUCGGAUCGUAAAACUCUGUUGUAAGGGAAGAACAAGUACAGUAGUAACUGGCUGUACCUUGACGGUACCUUAUUAGAGAGCCACGGCUAACUACGUGCCAGCAGCCGCGGUAAUACGUAGGUGGCAAGCGUUGUCCGGAAUUAUUGGGCGUAAAGCGCGCGCAGGCGGUCCUUUAAGUCUGAUGGGAAAGCCCACGGCUCAACCGUGGAGGGUCAUUGGAAACUGGGGGACUCGAGUGCAGAAGAGGAAAGUGGAACUCCAAGUGUAGCGGUGAAAUGCGUAGAGAUUUGGAGGAACACCAGUGGCGAAGGCGACUUUCUGGUCUGUAACUGACGCUGAGGCGCGAAAGCGUGGGGAGCAAACAGGAUUAGAUACCCUAGUAGUC